rnacentral:rRNA from 1 species
ACACGGUAAGGAUUGACGGACUGAAGGCUCUUUCUCGAUUCCGUGGAAAGUGGUGCAUGGCCGUUUUUGGUUGGUGGAUCGAUCCGUCUGGUUAAUUCCGUUAACGAACGAGACCUCGGCACUCCGAAUAGCGCGGCGGACGUCGCGGCCUCCGGGCCGUCUUCCGCACGAGCUUCUUAGAGGGACCGUCCCCCGCCGGGGAAGGAGGUGCGAGGCAACGACAGGUCUGUGAUGCCCUUAGAUGUUCUGGGCCGCACGCGCAUUACACUGACGCGUCCAACGGGUGACUCCCGACCCGAAGGGGCCGGGGAAUCCGCAAGGCGCGUCGUGAUGGGGAUUGAACGUUGCAAUUGUUGUUCACGAACGAGGAAUUCCUAGUAGGCGCGGGUCAUCAACCCCGCGCCGAUUACGUCCCUGCCCUUUGUACACACCGCCCG